UCAGACUCGGGAUUUGCUCCAACGAGUUCGUAGUAUCGGGUUUGAUCGAUCUGUACUGCAAACUUGGAAUGCUGCGACAGGGAAAGGCAAUGUUUGAUGCCCUGGAAAACAGAGAUCUGGUGUCUUGGAGCUCCAUGAUCAACGGGUAUGGAAUCAAUGGCCACGGGGAAGAUGCAGUCAAAACUUACUUGGAGAUGCUUGAGCAAGGUCUGAAGCCCAAUGGCGUCAUCUUCGUCUCCCUCCUAUCUGCGUGCAGCCACUGUGGCCUGGUCGAUGAAGGCCUGAGCUGGUUUUACCAAAUGGAGAGCACGUAUGGUC
rnacentral:lncRNA from 1 species